rnacentral:rRNA from 1 species
GACGAACGCUGGCGGCGUGCUUAACACAUGCAAGUCGAGCGGUAAGGCCCUUUCGGGGGUACGACGAGCGGCGAACGGGUGAGUAACACGUGGGUGACCUGCCCUCAGCUCUGGGAUAAGCCUGGGAAACCGGGUCUAAUACUGGAUAUGACUCCAUGACGCAUGUUGUGGGGUGGAAAGCCUUGUGCGGCUGAGGAUGGGCCCGCGGCCUAUCAGCUUGUUGGUGGGGUGANGGCCUACCAAGGCGACGACGGGUAGCCGGCCUGAGAGGGCGACCGGCCACACUGGGACUGAGACACGGCCCAGACUCCUACGGGAGGCAGCAGUGGGGAAUCUUGCGCAAUGGGCGAAAGCCUGACGCAGCGACGCCGCGUGAGGGAUGACGGCCUCGU